UAUGUACUCCCUCCGUCCGGAAAUACUUGUCAUCAAACUGGAUAAAAGAUGAUGCAUCUAGAUGUAUUUUAGUUCUAGAUAAGUCUCUUUUUAUCCAUUUUAAUGACAAGUAUUUCCGGACGGAGGGAGUACCCU
rfam:Triticum aestivum genome assembly, contig: Triticum_aestivum_CS42_TGACv1_scaffold_500168_6BL